rnacentral:rRNA from 1 species
AUUGAACGCUGGCGGCAGGCUUAACACAUGCAAGUCGAGCGGGGGAAGGUAGCUUGCUACUGGACCUAGCGGCGGACGGGUGAGUAAUGCUUAGGAAUCUGCCUAUUAGUGGGGGACAACAUCUCGAAAGGGAUGCUAAUACCGCAUACGUCCUACGGGAGAAAGCAGGGGAUCUUCGGACCUUGCGCUAAUAGAUGAGCCUAAGUCGGAUUAGCUAGUUGGUGGGGUAAAGGCCUACCAAGGCGACGAUCUGUAGCGGGUCUGAGAGGAUGAUCCGCCACACUGGGACUGAGACACGGCCCAGACUCCUACGGGAGGCAGCAGUGGGGAAUAUUGGACAAUGGGGGGAACCCUGAUCUAGCCAUGCCGCGUGUGUGAAGAAGGCCUUAUGGUUGUAAAGCACUUUAAGCGAGGAGGAGGCUACUCUAGUUAAUACCUAGGGAUAGUGGACGUUACUCGCAGAAUAAGCACCGGCUAACUCUGUGCCAGCCGCCGCGGUAA